UAGUCAAAUUACUGACUAAUCGCCAUUAAACCAAAACACAACAACAACAUUUGUCGUCGCGAGAGCAUCGUCACUUUGUGGUUUGUCUCUUGGACAAAAUCUUGCCUUGUGAAGCCGAAUCUUGACCUUAGUUGUACACGUCGUUUAGUUUUGACUGUUCUUUAGAGACUUGGUUAGUACCGGUGCUUUGGACUUUGACAGGGGCUUUGGACUUUGACGGAAGAAAGUUUUUGGAGUGUGGAUUUGGUGGAUGAGGAGGAGGACGCUGUUUCGGUGGACGAGGCGGCGGUGGACGCGGAAGGGGAGAAUUCGGCGGAGGAAGGGGACGAGGAGGUUAUUGACUGUUUUCAAGAUUGCUGAGAGUUGCAGAGAGUAAGUUGAUCUGCUUAAGAAGGCUAAAGUCAAGUAGUUUUUAAAAUAAAGCUACAAUGGAAUGAAACAGAUCUCCAUAAUUGGGAACAUAAUUGAACGCGGAAUAGGAAAGCUAUGGCUUAAUGAAAUUUUCUAUGACACUUCCGUAGGUAUGUAACAUAAUUUUGUGGACAAUUCUCAAUACUCUUCCAUUGGGU